UCCAAACUGAGUUUGGCAUCGGUAUGGUGACCUCCUGAGAACGGGGAACCACCAGGUUGGCCUAAGGAGGGGUGAACAGGAUCAGGUCAGAAAUGGAACAGAUCAAAACUCCCAGGCUGAUCAGUAGUGGGAUCA
rnacentral:SRP_RNA from 1 species